UGGUCGACCAGAGAAACCCCAGGGGCGACACCCACCAUUCCAAACCCUAGUUCACAAGAAAUCCUGCAAAUUGAAGGCCUUAAUCAGUUAGAAAUCGAAAUCCAAGCAUAGAAUCGUGAUCACCUCGUCAAAGGGAUCCUAAGGAUUGUUGAUGCUAAUAAUAUGUGCAAGGAAUCCGGGACGUCGAGCGGGCACGCCGGAGGAGAUACACGCGGAAAAGGAGUGCUUUAAAGGUGACUUGGAACUAAUCGGAAGAUGGUCGAGCUAACUUUUGAAGAACCGAACACUAUCUACAAGCUUCCGCUUUAGUUUAUCUUUUAAUGGUUUAUGUUUUGGGCAAAUGUAAACAAUUAACAAAUUAGUUUUCGAAUGUUUUAAUUUAGUACUAGAUUGACUAAACCUUUGCUACUUACGAAUUCCAU
rnacentral:lncRNA from 1 species